AAGCGGAUGAUGAGUUUCUCGGAUUCCCCUUCAAGACAUUUUGGGUGAUGUAGUCUCGAGUUACUGACGCU